GAGGCUGCUUUGCUGCUUCUUUUAUGCCCCAAAAAGAACAAUGAAAGCAGACGAGG
ensembl:miRNA